rnacentral:rRNA from 1 species
GACGUAGGGCGCGAGCGUUGUCCGGAAUUACUGGGCGUAAAGAGCUCGUAGGUGGUUUGUCGCGUUGUUCGUGAAAACUCACAGCUUAACUGUGGGCGUGCGGGCGAUACGGGCAGACUGGAGUACUGCAGGGGAGACUGGAAUUUACGGUGUAGCGGUGAAAUGCGUAGAUAUCGUAAGGAAGACCAGUGGCGAAGGCGGGGUCUCUGGACAGUUCCUGACGCUGAGGCACGAAGGCCAGGGGAGCAAACGGG